AUCGAACGCUGGCGGCAGGCCUAACACAUGCAAGUCGAGCGGAUGAAGGGAGCUUGCCUCUGGAUUCAGCGGCGGACGGGUGUGUAAUGCCUAGGAAUCUGCCUGGCAGUGGGGGAUAACGUCCGCAAACGGGCGCUAAUACUGCAUACGUCCUGAGGGAGAAAGUGGGGGAUCUUCGGACCUCACGCUAUCAGAUGAGUCUAGGCCGGAUUAGAUAGGUGGUGGGGUAAAGGCCUACCAAGGCGACGAUCCGUAACUGGCCUGAGAGGAUGAUCAGUCACACUGGAACUGGAACGCGGACCAGGCUCCUACGAGACGGAGCAGUGGGGAAUGUUAGGCAGUGGGGGGAAGCAUGAUACAACCAUGCCGCGUGUGUGAAGAAGGUCUUCGGAUUGGAAAGAACGUUUAGUUGGGGGAAAGGGCAGUAAGUUAAGACCUUGCUGUAUUGACGGUACCAACAGAAUAAGCACCGGCUAACUUCGUG
rnacentral:rRNA from 1 species